rnacentral:tRNA from 1 species
GGGGGCAUAACUCAGUUGGUAGAGUAGCUGGCUUUUAACCAGUAGGUCCCAGGUUCGAGUCCUGGUGCCCUCACCA